rnacentral:tRNA from 1 species
ACCGGAGUGGUGGAACUGGUAGACACGCAGGACUUAAAAUCCUGUGGCACUCAAAUGCCGUAUGGGUUCGAUUCCCAUCUCUGGUA